GACGAACGCUGGCGGCGUGCUUAACACAUGCAAGUCGAACGGAAAGGCCCUGCUUGCAGGGUACUCGAGUGGCGAACGGGUGAGUAACACGUGGGUGAUCUGCCCUGCACUUCGGGAUAAGCCUGGGAAACUGGGUCUAAUACCGGAAAGGAGCCAGUGUGAGUGUGAUGGUUGGAAAGUUUUUUCGCUGUAGGAUGAGCUCGCGGCCUAUCAGCUUGUUGGUGGGGUAAUGGCCUACCAAGGCGGCGACGCGUAACUGGCCUGAGAGGGUGGACGGCCACGAUGGAAAUGAGAGACGGUCCAGAGGCCUACGGGAGGCAGCGGUGGGGCAUAUUGGAGGAUGGGCGAAAGCCGGAUCCAGCCAUGCCGCGUGUGUGAAGAAGGUCUUCGGAUUGGAAAGCACGUUAAGGUGGGAGGAAGGGCAGUAAGUUAAUACCGUGCUGUUGUGACGUUACCAACAGAAUAAGCACCGGCUAACUUCGUG
rnacentral:rRNA from 1 species